ACCCUGGUAGUCCACGCCGUAAACGAUGUCGACUUGGAGGUUGUGCCCUUGAGGCGUGGCUUCCGGAGCUAACGCGUUAAGUCGACCGCCUGGGGAGUACGGCCGCAAGGUUAAAACUCAAAUGAAUUGACGGGGGCCCGCACAAGCGGUGGAGCAUGUGGUUUAAUUCGAUGCAACGCGAAGAACCUUACCUGGUCUUGACAUCCACGGAAGUUUUCAGAGAUGAGAAUGUGCCUUCGGGAACCGUGAGACAGGUGCUGCAUGGCUGUCGUCAGCUCGUGUUGUGAAAUGUUGGGUUAAGUCCCGCAACGAGCGCAACCCUUAUCCUUUGUUGCCAGCGGUCCGGCCGGGAACUCAAAGGAGACUGCCAGUGAUAAACUGGAGGAAGGUGGGGAUGACGUCAAGUCAUCAUGGCCCUUACGACCAGGGCUACACACGUGCUACAAUGGCGCAUACAAAGAGAAGCGACCUCGCGAGAGCAAGCGGACCUCAUAAAGUGCGUCGUAGUCCGGAUUGGAGUCUGCAACUCGACUCCAUGAAGUCGGAAUCGCUAGUAAUCGUGGAUCAGAAUGCCACGGUGAAUACGUUCCCGGGCCUUGUACACACCGCCCGUCACACCAUGGGAGUGGGUUGCAAAAGAAGUAGGUAGCUUAACCUUCGGGAGGGCGCUUACCACUUUGUGAUUCAUGACUGGGGUGAAGUCGUAACAAGGUAACCGUAGGGGAACCUGCGGUUGGAUCAC
rnacentral:rRNA from 1 species